GACGAACGCUGACAGCAUGCUUAACACAUGCAAGUCAACCGGAAUGUGGGUUUUUUUCUUCGGUUCGGGUGGCGGACGGGGGAGUAACGCGUAAAGAACUUCCCUCCCAGCUAGGGACAAAACUUCGAAACGAAUGCUAAUACCUAAUAUUAUGAUACUCGGUCCUCCUAUAAUUAUGAAAGCUAUGAGCGCUGUGAGAGGGCUUUGCGUCCCAUCAGCUAGUUGGAGAGGUAACGGCUCACCAAGGCGAUGAUGGGUAGCCGGCCUGAGAGGGUGAUCGGCCACAAGGGACUUGGGAAGCGGCCCUUACGCCACCGGGGGGAAGCGGUGGGGAUAUUUCGACAAGGGACCAAGCGUGUGAUCGAGCAGUUCUGUGUGCACGAUGAAGUUUUUGGGAAUGAAAAGGGCUUGCAGUUGGGGAGGAGGAAAUGACGGUACCGACAGAAGAAGCGACGGCUAAAUACGUG
rnacentral:rRNA from 1 species